rnacentral:rRNA from 1 species
CGGCGGACGGGUGAGUAACACGUGGAUAACCUACCUAUAAGACUGGGAUAACUUCGGGAAACCGGAGCUAAUACCGGAUAAUAUAUUGAACCGCAUGGUUCAAUAGUGAAAGACGGUUUUGCUGUCACUUAUAGAUGGAUCCGCGCCGCAUUAGCUAGUUGGUAAGGUAACGGCUUACCAAGGCGACGAUACGUAGCCGACCUGAGAGGGUGAUCGGCCACACUGGAACUGAGACACGGUCCAGACUCCUACGGGAGGCAGCAGUC